rnacentral:rRNA from 1 species
GUACUAAGGUAGCAUAAUCAAUUGUCUUUUAAUUGAAGAAUGGAAUGAAAGAAUUAAUGAAAUAUAUACUGUCUCAAUUAUAAAAAUUAAUUUAAAUUUUUAGUUAAAAUGCUAAAUUUAAAUUAUGGGACGAUAAGACCCUAUAGAAUUUUAUAUUAAAUUAUUUGUAAUAAUUAAUUAUUAAAUUAUUAUAAAUAAUUUAAUAUUUAAUUGGGAGGAUUUAUAAAUUUAAUAAACUUUAUAUUAAUAAUUAAACUUUGAUUUAAGAAAAUUUAAUUUGAUAUAGUAAUAUUAAUUAAGAAAAAAAAUUACCUUAGGGAUAACAGCGUAAUAUCUUUUUAAAGUACAAAUUAAUAA